AGCAGGUUGAUCACGCUGCCCUGUUUGAACUGAUAUUAUUCAGUCUCAUCAACUAUGAAUAUGGUGUAUGGUGUACUCACAUCCAUGCCAUCUAUUGCCACAUUUGCAGACUUUGACAGUUUUGGUGUUGCACCUAUAUGUAACCCUGAAAAAAUAUUCCAAGAAUCUUCUUUGAUAUUAUUUAUGAUAUUUUCAUAAUACAUAUGUUCUCAGGCGCUUUCCGUGGGAAGUGAUAGCAAUGGAAGCGGAGCUGUAGCUCUUCUGAAAAUUGCAAGGAUCUUUUCACACAUCUAUACAAGCCCUAAGACCAGAAGCAAGUUUAAUCUUCUCUUUGGAUUAACAUCUGGCGGACCCUACAAUUAAAAUGGAACUAGCAAGGUUAUCAAUUUUUGUUACAGUGGCUUGAAGUUUUGACCAACAUGUGUGUGAUAUUAUUGACUAUGCAAUUUACUUGAAUAUCAUUGGUUCCCGGAGCAAUGAUCUCUGGAUGCAUGUAUCAAAGCCUCCAGAGAAGCCUUACAUCAAGCAAAUCUUUGAGACUACAUGCUGAACAAGUUUCAGAUUGAGGAGAGCCUGGUCCCAAGAUGUGCCUAAAUUUGUACAGGGAAUAAGGAACUACAAUGGCCGGUCUGAAGCUUAUGGGCUACGAUUUCGACUACGAGGAUUCCACGCCAGCGUGCACGGUAAAUUGCCAUAUGAGAAGUUGAAGCCGGACCCUGUCCUGAGGAAUCUACUGCUUUCGAUGCCUCAAAAUCCCUCUGAUGUUUUUUGCUAAUCGCAUCAGCAAGGGGUCUGUGACAGUUAAAUGCUUCAGCAGUUACAGUUUGUUGUUGCACUGUAGAUAUUCACCAACUCUGACGAGGCUCACGCGGUCGCCCUCCUCUUGGUUAACUCUGACAUUCAUUGUGCCAUUUAUAUCAAAAUAUUGCAUGAGUUUU